ensembl:snRNA U6 U6 spliceosomal RNA
AUGCUAAAAUAGGCAGUACAUAUACUAAAAUUGGAAUAAUAUAGAGAAGAUUAGCAUGGCCUCUGCAUGAUGAUGGCAUACAAGUUCAUAAAGUGUUUCAUAUCUUU